UACGUAGGGUGCGAGCGUUGUCCGGAAUUAUUGGGCGUAAAGAGCUCGUAGGCGGCUCGUUGCGUCGGCUGUGAAAACCCGCAGCUCAACUGUGGGCUUGCAGCUGAUACGGGCAGGCUAGAGUGUGGUAGGGGAGAUCGGAAUUCCUGGUGUAGCGGUGAAAUGCGUAGAUAUCUGGAGGAACACCGGUGGCGAAGGCGGCAUCCUGGACCGGCAUUGACGCUGAGGAGCGAAAGCUAGGGGAGCAAACGGGG
rnacentral:rRNA from 1 species